rnacentral:rRNA from 1 species
AACGAACGCUGGCGGCGUGCUUAACACAUGCAAGUCGAACGCGAAAGGGACUUCGGUCCUGAGUAAAGUGGCGCACGGGUGAGUAACGCGUGGAUAAUCUGCCCAAUGGACUGGGAUAACAUCUCGAAAGGGGUGCUAAUACCGGAUAAGACCACGGGAUCUUUGGAUUCUGCGGUAAAAGGUGGGGACCUUCGGGCCUACCGUCAUUGGAUGAGUCCGCGUACCAUUAGCUAGUUGGUAGGGUAAUGGCCUACCAAGGCUACGAUGGUUAGCUGGUCUGAGAGGAUGGUCAGCCACACUGGAACUGAGACACGGUCCAGACUCCUACGGGAGGCAGCAGUGGGGAAUUUUGCGCAAUGGGGGAAACCCUGACGCAGCAACGCCGCGUGAGUGAUGAAGGCCUUCGGGUCGUAAAGCUCUGUCAGAGGGGAAGAAGUGCAGUGGUGCUAAUAUCGCCAUUGUUUGACGGUACCCUCAAAGGAAGCACCGGCUAACUCCGUGCCAGCCGCCGCAGUAA